GGGGCUGAUUCUGGAUUCGACGGGAUUCGCGAAACCCAAGGUGCAUGCCGAGGGGCGGUUGGCCUCGUAAAAAGCCGCAAAAAAAUAGUCGCAAACGACGAAAACUACGCUUUAGCAGCUUAAUAACCUGCUGAGAGCCCUCUCUCCCUAGCCUCCGCUCUUAGGACGGGGAUCAAGAGAGGUCAAACCCAAAAGAGAUCGCGUGGAGACCCUGCCUGGGGUUGAAGCGUUAAAACUAAUCAGGCUAGUUUGUUAGUGGCGUGUCCAUCCGCAGCUGGCAAGCGAAUGUAAAGAUUGGACUAAGCAUGUAGUACCGAGGAUGUAGGAAUUUCGGACGCGGGUUCAACUCCCGCCAGCUCCACCA
rnacentral:tmRNA from 1 species